rnacentral:tRNA from 1 species
GGCACUUUAGCUCAGCAAGUUAGAGCAAACGGCUCAUGAACGCUUCGGUCGUAGGCUCGAGUCCUACAAGGUCUA